AUGAAGGUGCAGUGCGACGUGUGCGCGGCCGAAGCGGCCUCGGUCUUCUGCUGCGCCGACGAGGCCGCGCUCUGCGACGCUUGCGACCGCCGCGUGCACCGCGCCAACAAGCUCGCCGGCAAGCACCGCCGCUUCUCGCUGCUCAACCCGUCGCCGUCCGCGUCGAUGCCGCCGCCGCUCUGCGACAUCUGCCAGGAGAAGAGGGGCUUCUUGUUCUGCAAGGAGGACAGGGCGAUCCUGUGCCGGGAGUGCGACGUGUCGGUGCACGCGGCGAGCGAGCUCAGCAUGCGCCACGCCCGCUUCCUGCUCACCGGCGUGCGGGUCUCCUCGGAGCCGGCCGCCUCCCCCGCGCCGCCCUCGGAGGAGGAGAACACGAGCAGCCACUGCUGCAGCGGCGACGACGACGCGGCGCCCGCCACGAGCCACGGCGCCAGCAGCGGCAGCAGCAUCUCCGAGUACCUCACCAAGACGUUGCCCGGGUGGCACGUGGAGGACUUUCUGGUCGACGACGCCACCGCGGCGGCGGCCGCCGCGGCCGCUUCCGCCGGCUUCUCAUCAGGCGGAUCGUACCCGGGAGUAGGAACUCCGAACUUCGCGCUGCACGACGCCGGCUACCCAGCGGGGUGGACGAGGCAGGAGCAUUGGGUGCCGCAGAUGUACGCGAAGCUGGCAGGCGGCAAGAGAUCCCGGACUUCGGCUGCCAAUCCGCACUGGUGA
rnacentral:rRNA from 1 species